GAUGAACGCUAGCUACAGGCUUAACACAUGCAAGUCGAGGGGAAACGACAUCGAAAGCUUGCUUUUGAUGGGCGUCGACCGGCGCACGGGUGAGUAACGCGUAUCCAACCUGCCCACCACUUGGGGAUAACCUUGCGAAAGUAAGACUAAUACCCAAUGAUAUCUCUAGAAGACAUCUGAAAGAGAUUAAAGAUUUAUCGGUGAUGGAUGGGGAUGCGUCUGAUUAGCUUGUUGGCGGGGUAACGGCCCACCAAGGCAACGAUCAGUAGGGGUUCUGAGAGGAAGGUCCCCCACAUGGGAACUGAGACACGGUCCAAACUCCUACGGGAGGCAGCAGUGAGGAAUAUUGGUCAAUGGACGAGAGUCUGAACCAGCCAAGUAGCGUGCAGGAAGACGGCCCUAUGGGUUGUAAACUGCUUUUAUAAGGGAAUAAAGUGAGUCUCGUGAGACUUUUUGCAUGUACCUUAUGAAUAAGGACCGGCUAAUUCCGUG
rnacentral:rRNA from 1 species